GCUCCCAUAGCUUAGACCAAA
rnacentral:tRNA from 5 species